rnacentral:rRNA from 1 species
AGCAGCCGCGGUAAUUCCAGCUCCAAUAGCGUAUAUUAAAGUUGUUGCAGUUAAAAAACUCGUAGUUGAAUUUCAGGCCUGGCUGGACGGUCCGCCCUUCGGGUGAGUACUGUCUGUGGUCGGGUCCUACCUUCUGGCGAAGCGUCAUGGCCUUAACCGGCCGUGGCGGGGAACCAGGACUUUUACUGUGAAAAAAUUAGAGUGUUCAAAGCAGGCAAUCGCUUGGAUACAUUAGCAUGGAAUAAUGGAAUAGGACAAUGGUUCUAUUUGUUGGUUUCUAGGACCGUUGUAAUGAUUAAUAGGGAUAGUUGGGGGCAUUAGUAUUCAAUUGUCAGAGGUGAAAUUCUUGGAUUUAUUGAAGACUAACUACUGCGAAAGCAUUUGCCAAGGAUGUUUUCAUUAAUCAAGAACGAAAGUUAGGGGAUCGAAGACGAUCAGAUACCGUCGUAGUCUUAACCAUAAACUAUGCCGACUAGGAAUCGGGCGAUGUUGACAAAAUGACGC